GGCGCGAAGUGCGCGGGGCCGGGGAGAGCGCGCAGUCGGGCUGGCGGAGCAGAGCGGUGCAGAGAGGCCCGGAGCUGCGCGGGUUCAGCCGGGCAGGGUCGCCUCGAGCCUGGAAGCUGCGCACCACCGCCCUGUCCAGCCAGCAACCCCAUAACUGCAACGGCCCCGGACAGAAGUAACGAUGGCCUUUCCCGCAGUCGCCGCUGGAGGACCCAAAGUUUUGCACGCGGCAUGUCUUCCCCCCCCCCCCCGGCCACCCACCAUGCGUGCGAUGUCCCCGAGGGAUCCUGGGGGCUUAGUGGGGACUAGGUCGGCUGUUCCGCACCCCUCCACCACCAUCCCCCAGGGCAGGGUGGGGACUCUGGCGAGUGUACCUGCCACCACCGUACCCAGUCUCCUCUCUUGCUGAGCCUCAGAACCCGGUCCCUUCGCAGAGGUCUUCCGGAGCCAGGAGCAAAGGGGAAAAAAGGACGUGGCUCAGAGAAGCUGACAGUGAAUGCUAACUUCGGUGACAGCUUUGCCAUUGUGAGCAUCUUCGAUCACACCCCACCAUAGGGAAACCCAAACCCUUCACGUGGACAGCGUUUGAAGAGCCAGAUGGUGUGGUGGGUUAGAAAAUCCAUGAGGAAUUAAAGGAAACACAGCCUUGCAUCGAAGAUGUCUUAUGACAACCUACCUGACGGAUGGCGAUGGGGUGACAUCAGGAGGUGACCGGUGACAUCUACCAGACGGAAGAUGUUCCUGAGGCCCACAGUGGACUAGAUAGAUGGCCAGCAGACAGAAUGAUGGUUGUGCAUCGGCCACCAGCUCCACUGACACUUUGCUGGAAUAGGAGUCACCCUCCCUGUGACCACAGCCACCCUAUGACCACCACCACCCCGUGACCACUACCACCCUGUGACCACCGCCACCACCCUGUGACCACCACCACCCCCUGACCACCGCCACC